CAUUUUUUUCUCUUUUCAAUGUAGGUAUGAUGUUGAUUCAAAGAGUCCAGACCUUCAAAGCAUGAUUUCUUGGGACAAGUGUUCUGUACACUUGGAGAGAUUGUUGGGUCACAAGGAAGCAGAUUAGAAAAGCCAAUUGUAGGAAUUCCUGGGAGGAAAUGUGGAAUAAUUAUACUGACAGCAGAGGAACUGAACUGUUGCCGG